UACGAAGGGGGCUAGCGUUGUUCGGAAUCACUGGGCGUAAAGCGCACGUAGGCGGAUCUUUAAGUCAGGGGUGAAAUCCCGAGGCUCAACCUCGGAACUGCCUUUGAUACUGGGGAUCUCGAGUCCGGGAGAGGUGAGUGGAACUGCGAGUGUAGAGGUGAAAUUCGUAGAUAUUCGCAAGAACACCAGUGGCGAAGGGCGGCUCACUGGGC
rnacentral:rRNA from 1 species